UACUUUAGGAUGAUAUCCAGCCUCUUUGACUCCUUUGUCCAAAGCUUGAUCCUCGUUACCUUCAUUCUUAUGCAGAAGAGUUAAACUUUGGCAUAAGGUAGGAUGGCUCCGUGCGUAGUUCAUGCCUCAAGCACAAAUCACCUAUGCAUUAGGGGGCAUGUUAGAUAAAAGCAAUUCGUGUAUUAAACAAAGACCAACGACUUCAUCUUUUGGAAUUAUUGGUUCAUGACUGUUUUAUUUAUGUUAGAACUUUCAAUCAUUUUAAAGCAAAAAUAAAAUGAAAUAUUCUUUGUGGUAUUUGUCAUGAAUUCCUGCAGGAUAGUGGGGAUCAGUUGUUGGAAAAUGGUGCAUCAGGAAACAGUAGCAUUGGGACUUUCCUUGGUUGGGCAAUGACAUUCCGAUAUUUGAGUGGAAGGAUGCCUCAAAUUUGGUUAAAUAUCAGAAGGGGACAUGCGGAGGGCCUGAAUCCUUUGAUGUUUCUCUUUGCUAUAAUUGGGAAUGCCACUUAUGUUGCAAGCAUACUUGUGAGCAGCUUGAAUUGGUCAACAAUCAGACCCAAUCUACCAUGGCUGGUAGAUGCAGGAGGAUGCGUCCUUCUUGAUUUUUUU